UACGUAGGGGGCAAGCGUUGUCCGGAUUUAUUGGGCGUAAAGAGCGUGUAGGCGGCCAGAUAAGUCCGGUGUGAAAGUCACAGGCUCAACCUGUGAAUGCCGCUGGAAACUGUCUGGCUUGAGUCCGGAAGGGGCGAGUGGAAUUCCUGGUGUAGCGGUGAAAUGCGCAGAUAUCAGGAGGAACACCAAUGGCGAAGGCAGCUCGCUGGAACGGUACUGACGCUGAGGCGCGAAAGCGUGGGGAGCGAACAGG
rnacentral:rRNA from 1 species